CUUGUUCUCUAAAUAAGGACUAGUAUGAAUGGCCACACGAGGGUUUAACUGUCUCUUACUUCCAAUCAGUGAAAUUGACCUUCCCGUGAAGAGGCGGGAAUACAACAAUAAGACGAGAAGACCCUGUGGAGCUUCAAUUAACUGACCCAAAGAGACACAAUUACAACCAACAGGGACAACAACUCUCCACAUGGGUCAACAAUUUAGGUUGGGGUGACCUCGGAGCAUAAAACAACCUCCGAGUGAUUUUAAUCUAGACUAACCAGUCAAAAGUAUUACAUCACUUAUUGAUCCAAUACACUUGAUCAACGGAACAAGUUACCCUAGGGAUAACAGCGCAAUCCUAUUUUAGAGUCCAUAUCGACAAUAGGG
rnacentral:rRNA from 1 species